UUCAGUUCAGAAAUUGAAAAC
rnacentral:piRNA from 1 species